rnacentral:rRNA from 1 species
UACGGAGGGGGCUAGCGUUGUUCGGAAUUACUGGGCGUAAAGCGCACGUAGGCGGCUUUGCAAGUCAGAGGUGAAAGCCCGGGGCUCAACCCCGGAAUUGCCUUUGAGACUGCAUCGCUAGAACGUCGGAGAGGUAAGUGGAAUUCCGAGUGUAGAGGUGAAAUUCGUAGAUAUUCGGAAGAACACCAGUGGCGAAGGCGACUUACUGGACGACUGUUGACGCUGAGGUGCGUAAAGCGUGGGGAGCAAACAGG